AGCUUUGCGCAGUGACAUUACCGUAGCUGAUAAGGUCCAUCCGAGGCGCGGUUAUCGCUGAUUGAAACUUUUCGCAAUACCCCGUGAAACGACUUGAAACAUAGUCUGCUUUGCAAUUUUUGUGGGCCCUGCUUAGGG
rnacentral:snRNA from 2 species